CUGGCGGCGUGCUUAACACAUGCAAGUCGAACGCUGAAGCCUAGCUUGCUGGGUGGAUGAGUGGCGAACGGGUGAGUAACACGUGAGUAACCUGCCCUCUUCUUUGGGAUAACGCCCGGAAAUGGGUGCUAAUACUGGAUAUUCACUGGUCUUCGCAUGGGGGUUGGUGGAAAGGGUUUUUCUGGUGGGGGAUGGGCUCGCGGCCUAUCAGCUUGUUGGUGGGGUGAUGGCCUACCAAGGCUUUGACGGGUAGCCGGCCUGAGAGGGUGACCGGUCACAUUGGGACUGAGAUACGGCCCAGACUCCUACGGGAGGCAGCAGUGGGGAAUAUUGCACAAUGGGCGCAAGCCUGAUGCAGCGACGCCGCGUGAGGGAUGGAGGCCUUCGGGUUGUGAACCUCUUUCGCUCAUGGUCAAGCCGCAACUGUGGGUUGUGGUGAGGGUAGUGGGUAAAGAAGCGCCGGCUAMCUACGUGCCAGCAGCCGCGGUAAUACGUAGGGCGCGAGCGUUGUCCGGAAUUAUUGGGCGUAAAGGGCUUGUAG
rnacentral:rRNA from 1 species